rnacentral:rRNA from 1 species
GACGAACGCUGGCGGCGUGCCUAAUACGUGCAAGUCGAACGAAGCUGUUUUAACUGGUGCUUGCACCGACUUAAACAACUGAGUGGCGAACGGGUGAGUAACACGUGGGUAACCUGCCCCAAAGCGGGGGACAACAUUUGGAAACAGAUGCUAAUACCGCAUAACCACAGAAACCACAUGGUUUCUGUGUCAAAGAUGGUUUCGGCUAUCACUUUGGGAUGGACCCGCGGCGUAUUAGCUAGUUGGUAAGGUAAUGGCUUACCAAGGCAAUGAUACGUAGCCGAACUGAGAGGUUGAUCGGCCACAUUGGGACUGAGACACGGCCCAAACUCCUACGGGAGGCAGCAGUAGGGAAUCUUCCACAAUGGACGAAAGUCUGAUGGAGCAACGCCGCGUGAGUGAAGAAGGUUUUCGGAUCGUAAAACUCUGUUGUCAGAGAAGAACGUGUGCGAGAGUAACUGCUCGUGCAGUGACGGUAUCUGGCCAGAAAGCCACGGCUAACUACGUGCCAGCCGCCGCAGUAA